rnacentral:rRNA from 1 species
UACGGAGGGUGCAAGCAUUAAUCGGAAUUAUUGGGCGUAAAGGGCGCGUAGGCGGAAAUGUAAGUCAGAUGUGAAAUUCCGAGACUCAAUUUCGGAGCUGCAUUUGAAACUACAUAUCUUGAGGAUUGGCGGAGAGAACGGAAUUCCACGUGUAGCGGUGAAAUGCGUAGAUAUCUGGAGGAACACCGGUGGCGAAGGCGGCAUCCUGGACCGACACUGACGCUGAGGAGCGAAAGCCAGGGGAGCAAACGGG